rnacentral:lncRNA from 1 species
AGUCUCCGUGUGUGCUGCCCGGGAGGUGCCCUGCGUGGGGAGCCCUGCACCCCAGCGUGGCUCAUCCCUCCCCAGCGGUCAGAGCCAAGCCCCGGGCGAGGGUGCACCCUCCGGAGAACCACUUCCCGCGAGGCGGACCGUUAGUUACUGGAUUACACGUGCGAGGACUGGACCGGCUGGAGGUCACUGGACCUGUGGGGCAGCUCUGGGACCCUGCUGUGCCGGCCACCAGGCCAGGUGCUGGAGAACCAUUCCGGAGGACAGUCAAGGCCCCUGUGUCCAAAGCUUAAAUCAGAAGAGACGGACUGAUUCAGAAGGAGCUUCCAGACAGAGAAAAGCGUCUGUAGAGAGAUCGCAAGCAAACUGAUGAGCAGGAAAACGUGAGACGAUGACGCAGGAGAGGAAGAAUGAGGGUCCCGCUAUCUCUCUUGGUUCUGUGGUGAGACCCUCCCCUUGCGGUGAAGGAGGGAUUAACACGGCGAGAACCUACGGACUUUUAAUAAGUGGAUUUUCCAGAAGCCACGUGAUGCGUGACAAGCUCUUUGCUCAGAUGCGGUGGAAUGCAGCUCGCUGUUCUUAUGUUCUGCAGAACGUUCUAGGUUGACUCAUUGGCUUAACGAUGGGAGAUUUGGAGGGUCCGCUUUCUCGAGCCACAGCUGCACCGAUUUCGAACAAAGAGCCGCGAAACGUGAGCGGCUGUAGCGCUGCGUCGUCGCUCACUCACAGAGGGAGACGUCUGAUGGGGGAGAACCUGGUCGGAACUGCAGGUAAGAAGCGAAAAUGUGAUGAAAGCUCUUCCCUCUCAGCUCCGUGGAUUAAGAAUUCACCUUCCUGUGUUUAAUGCUGCAGAAAAAACUCAGGUUCUAGCAAGGGGCCAGUUAAUUUGCGACGUUGCAUUUGGACCUGUCAUUCAGAGUUUAAAGACGAAGGAAUAGCAUAUUUUCAAUGUAGGUGUGAUGAGUUCUUUUAAAAACCAAAAAUCGCUCCUUAGCGCUUGUCACACGAGCAAUGAAAAAGCCACCGAGCCUCUUACAGGGUGAGUGCUGGCGUUGCUGGACAGGGGCCUGCAGGGAAGCUCAGGCAGGUGGCCCUGCGGAUGUCCUCGUCCUCGGCCGACCGGUCCUCUCCGGGGUCCUGGCCCAACCGCCUACCCGCUCCACUGUCGCCGGUCGUGUUGGAGCCGCAGCUGCAGGCGGGGCUCGUCUGCAGUGAGUGCUUUUCUCCCUGAGGCGGGAGCUGCGGGUCGGCUGUUCCAUCGGGGUCCACGGGGAGCACAGACGAGGCCUCCCUCAGCGAGGGCGGGCCGGCACGCGCUCUAAGCCCCGGGUGCCUUUUGUGAAACUGGGGCUGUGUUCUGGAACAGCCGAGCUGCCACGUGCCCUGACGGCGUCUAAGCGCAAUCGACGGGCACGGGGAGCGGGGCUGCCCUGGGGCGGCCAACACGGCCCACAACUCUUCCUCGAGAAGGGAAGAAGCAAGACAUGGAUUUUGUAAAUCUCAACGCUGGGGGACACCUUGUUUACACGCUUUGUGACAAGGGGGCUGCCUCCCAGGGCGGACUGAGCUGCAGCAGCGGUCGGUCGGUCGGUCGGUCGGUCGGUCGUCUUCAACAAAGGCGUGGAUAAAACUCUCAAGUAGCUGGGCUUUUUUGUUGUGUUUUUGUUUUUUGUUUUUGUUUUUGUUUUUCGCAGAACAUAAAUAACUGACAAAUUGUGCUUAUCUUGACUUACGUGUUUGGUAGAGCUUUCUUUAAAAAGGAAUGAAAAGAGCCUGUCCCAUCAAGGGAAAUAGCCAACAGUUUUCGUUAUCAAUAAUAGAAUUUGAGCUCUCUAGUGAAAAUUAGAGUUUUGGAAACUUGUUUCCACCACUGUGAGCUUAAGGUUCCUAAAACUUAGAGCAUUUUCAGCUAAAACCAGUGGCAGUAUUAACAAAUAUUAAAAAUAAUUUGUAUAAUGAAAUGUGUCAAGUUAGAACUAG